rnacentral:rRNA from 1 species
UACGUAGGGUGCAAGCGUUAAUCGGAAUUACUGGGCGUAAAGCGUGCGCAGGCGGCUUUGCAAGACAGAUGUGAAAUCCCCGGGCUUAACCUGGGAACUGCAUUUGUGACUGCACGGCUAGAGUACGGCAGAGGGGGAUGGAAUUCCGCGUGUAGCAGUGAAAUGCGUAGAUAUGCGGAGGAACACCAAUGGCGAAGGCAGUCCCCUGGGCCUGUACUGACGCUCAUGCACGAAAGCGUGGGGAGCAAACAGG